GUGAAGCUAAUCUUUUGGGAAGGAGCCACAAGGAUUCUUACAGGGAAACACAUAGCAGGAGAGAUCAUGUUCGAUAAUCCGGACAAGAUUGUUUGCCAUGCAGAUUCUUUCUUCAUUGGCCACCCUCUACCAGCCCUGGACAUUAAUGAUGAGCUCAGGCCAGGCCAAACCUACUUUGUCUUUCCUAUAGAUCGCAUCUCUUGCAACCAUGUUCUAUCUGCAGCUUCUCUUGCAGCCUUAACCAGCUCCUCCAGCCCUAGACCAGCACCUAUCAAUUUCGGUGAGUAUGAUCCUUUCCAAUACGUGAAGGGUGCAAAUGGUAGGAUUCUGAUAAAGGUGGUGCCUGAAUUCAUAAUAAGGCUUCUAAAUAGAGGUAAAGAAGAAGAAAAUGGUGGGUCUGCUAGUCCUGGUAAUAAUAAUGGUAACAGCUUUCUUUGUAGCACACCAGAGUUGAAGAAGCACUAUGAACAGCUUGUUGGGUCUAGAGAACAAACAUGGUCACCUAAACUUGAGACCAUUUCCGAGUGCAAAAUUAGGUAUUCUCCUUGCAGAUUUUUAGGGUUGGAGUGGAAACAAAAAGAAGAGAAUGAUGCAUAAUUUUGUAUUAAUUCUUUUCAGUUAAUUAUUAAAGGGAAGAAGAACAUAAU
rnacentral:misc_RNA from 1 species